rnacentral:rRNA from 1 species
AUACGGAGGACGCGAGCGUUAUCCGGAUUCAUUGGGUUUAAAGGGUGCGCAGGCGGCCGUGCAAGUCAGCGGUGAAAGCCCGGGGCUCAACCCCGGAAGUGCCGUUGAUACUGCAUGGCUGGAAUGCGGUCGAGGCGGGCGGAACGUGGCGGGUAGCGGGGAAAAGCGUAGAUAUGCCACAGAACGCCGAUAGCGGAGGCAGCUCGCCAGGCCUGCAUUGACGCUCGGGCACGAAAGCGGGGGGAUCGAACAGGAUUAGAUACCCUGGUAGUCCACGCCGUAAACGAUGGGCGCUCGUCGUCGGCGGCAGACAGUCGGCGGCCAAGCGAAAGCGAUAAGCGCCCCACCUGGGGAGUACGGUCGCAAGGCUGAAACUCAAAUGAAUUGACGGGG